AGAUGGGAAGCGUCGUCGGCAUCAGUCGCCCCCCGCCGACGGCACUUUCCGGGGAGCGGGUCAAAAGCCCGUUCCCUUGAGUUACCUUCCGAUGGGAAAAGCCCCCCUCCGUCGGAAGGACUAGGGCGGUGAAGUUGCCCCAAGCUUCACCGCCCGUUUUU
rnacentral:sRNA from 1 species